rnacentral:rRNA from 1 species
AUGGACAAGAAGCAUAGAGGCAAGGAAGAGAGGCUCACCCCAGGCCGCGGUCGAAGGAGAGCAGCCGCUGGCCACGCGCAGGAAGAGACGGCGGGAGGUGGUGGCGAGGGUCACGGCACCGGCGAGACUAGCUCCCAUCUGUUUGGAUUCAUCGUGUGCAUUGGAGCCACUGCUGCAAGAGCGUUGAACACUGUGUUGCAAGUAAUUCUUCUGUCGUCCGAGGGGGAGAAACUUAAUUCUAUGAACCUGCCCUUGUACAUGGCUCCAAUUGUUCUCAUUCUCUUUCUUCCUGCUACCCUCUUUAUGGAGGAUAAUGUUGUUGGCGUUACAACAGAACUGGUCAAAAAGGAUUUCACUAUUGUUUGGUUGCUGUUGUUCAACUCUUGCUUGUAA